UGGGGGAAAAAGAACCCAAACAAACAAACCCUAAGAUUGCUCUCCAGUAGAGGGCAGAUGGGUAUUUAGGAAAGUAAAAGUGCUGAAAUGCAGCCAAACACGCCCAGCUGCUCUUCCUGACCCUGAAUGUUUUCUCCAGGCGAGGGUAAGAGGGGAGGAAGCGGUGGAAGCAGCAGCUGUGGAUUGUGCCACCCGAGUGCCACUGUGCCCGCAGCCACCUGUCCCUGCCAGCCCCUGGCAGCAAGGUGAGGAGCAGCUUCGGUUCCAGAGGGAAAACAUUCCAGCUCCUGUGAGCCUGCGGGGUCUGCGUGUCCUUGGGGCUUCUGUCAGCGCCACCUCAACCACACCUGAAUAUUUUGGGUUUUUCCUGGAAGCCCAACACCCUCAGGAGGAGGAAUACCAAGUUGUUGUCUCUUUGGUAGAGACUGUUCCUUUAUCCUGUGGGGAACGUCCCAGCCUGGGAGUAAAUCAUCAACUCCAACCUGUUACUCCAUCAUUUCUCUACAACUUCAUCCUGGGCCGUUCAUAUCAGCCUCAGCCCGCCUUGUCCGCCCAUUAAACCGCCCGGGGCACUGUAAUCUCGUUAUUUGAUGAGACAGAUACAAAUGGUGUUCAGCAAAGCAGGGCACAGCUCCAGAGCUCUGUUUUGUUUCCUCAAGGGAUGUCAUUCCCCAGCCUUGCCUACUACCGCCAAUUCUUCCAGCGUGUCCCAGGGAUACUCGAUUAUUUGGAUUAACUUCGGGGCAGGAAAAGAGGAUUAGGAAGCAGAGCAGCUCUUUAAUGCAUGCACGGAGACGGGUUACAUCAGUUCUGUCUGUUUACAGACUUGCCCUGCUGAAAAACAAUUUUCUAAAGCUGUUAAUUAUUCUGAAUUAUUUGCCAAAUUACUACAAAUCAUUCCUGGCUUGGGACCCACCAGGAAGACAAAGGGAGAACUGUUUAGGUGGCGCUACCUUCAGUCACUCACAUGAGCUUUCUCCUCCCUGCUUGGCCAAACUCUGCCUUCCCAAAGCAAAAACUCAUGUUUACAGAUUUAAAAUAUUUAUUCUCUGGAAAUGUGCAGCUCUUGCAUGUGCUUAAAGCAGCUUGGGGGCUUAGAGAUGGGAAUUAUCCAGGAGAGUUUUCUAUUCCUCUCCUUCACCCUGUCUGGGCUGGAAGUUCCAUUACUGAGGCAUCAAAAUGAUACUUUUUUUCCCUCAAGUGGUUCUUUUUAAGACGAAAAUUUUUGACUUUGGAUUCUGUUAGCCCCAUUGGGGUGAAACACUUGGAUAUUUCAGACUUGGAAUUGCCUCCUCCUGCGAGGCAAGGAGUGGAACAAAGAGUGGAUGACUCCAAGGAACACGAGGUGGAUACUCCUGGCUGGAGCUCAGGGGUUUUACUGGGACAAUUCAGGAUUCCCAGUAGAAGCUGGGCAUAAUCCAGGUCUCAGCAACACAGCAGAAAUAGCUCCUCAUCCCUCUUUUAGGAGGAAAAACGUUUUUCUCAUUUCCCUCCCAACUUUUCAUCACUGGUAACUCUUUUCUUUUCCUUGCACCUUGGUUCCACCUCUUUCCAACCUUUGAAAUUCAUUCGGGUAGGAUCUCACCUACCUUCACCCACCAGCUUGGAGCCACCUAAUGACACUGUCACCUCCUAAUCCUGGCACUUAGAAAGGAAAAUUCCUUUUUCUCCCUCUCCUUUUGGUCAAACCGGGGCUGCUCCUGCAGUGCCCCCUCCAGCCUCCAUUUCCUGCCAUGCCAAAAACUUUUUUAAAACUUUGCCCUGCAUAGAUCCGAAGCUUUUCCACAAAAUUCCACCCAGCCAGGUGAUCCCACGGCUUAUUCUGGGAUGUCAAUACCUGCAUUGUUGGGAAUGGGAAGAAAUCCCAGUGUGCCAAAGCAGCUGGAUUAGUGCUGAGCUGCCUGGGAAUUCCAGCCUGAACACAGACCUUGUGCAAGGACCUGCAAAUCCCAGGGACCAGAUCUGCAAUGGCAACAAAAAUAUUCUCUUGGCGUGUUGCUUUAAAUAUUUGCUGAGGUGUAGAAGGGAUUUUUUUCCCCUUUUAUCCAUCAUUUUCUUCUCCCAGAAUUGUUAAUUUUUGGAUUGAGGCAACAUUGAAUGUUUUUCACAUGAAGCAUCUCACACUCUCAGGGAAAACCAUCCUUCACCUGUUUGUUUCAAGAAGAAAACACCCAAAAUAAAAAAUUUCCCUGGUCUUACAAUAUUUAGGCAAAUAUUCUAAUUCCCACACUGGCCAGUGCUGUAAAUUGGUGGCACAUGGAAAUCCAGAUAUGGCAGUCUGGGAGUCUGCUUUUCUUUGGAGAUACAAAUGUCACUUUUUAAAUUAAAAUUUCUAUUUUUAAAGAACU
rnacentral:lncRNA from 1 species